GAACCUCACUCUGUCACCCAGGCUGGAGUGCAGUGCCACGAUCUCGGCUCACUGCAACCUCCGCUUCCCGGGUUCACGCCAUUCUCCUGCCUCAGCCUCCUGAGUAGCUGGGACUACAGGUACCCGCCACCACACCUGGCUAAUUUUUUGUAUUUUUAAUAGAGAUGGGGUUUCACCGUGUUAGCCAGCAUGGUCUUGAUCUCCUGAUCUCAUGAUCCGCCAGCCUCGGCCUCAAAGUUCUGGGAUUACAGGCGUGAGCCAACGUGCCCAGCCGAGGCACCUUUCUUAAGGUCCCAGCCCAUAGGUGGUCCACAUCACUUCUGCCUACAUUCCAUGAUCAGGAGCUUAGUCACAUGAUCAGCCCUAACUGUAAGGUGGCUGGGAAAUAUAUAUAUAUGUAUGUGUCUACAUAUAUGUGUGUAUAUAUAUGUGUGUGUGUGUGUGUGUGUGUGUGUGUGUAUGCAGCCAUAGGCCGAGUAGUUCAAUUAUUGUAGAAGAAGGAAAGAAUAGGUUUUUGGAUAGUGUCAUUACAUCAACCUAGAUGUGACCCAGAUACCACCAAGUAGAGGCUCUUCAGUUAUUAUGAGCAAUUAGGUCAGAGUUUUUGUUAAAGUGGAAACAGGGAAAGUAUGAUCCAUAGAGGACAUAAGGACAUAGGAUCCCUUCGAGUAAUGGAACAUGUCCCAGGGGCUUGAAAAGAGACUGUUUUGUUUGUCCUUCCAGACAGGGGAGUUCAGGGGCAUUCAGCAGCAGACAAGGGUGAUGGAUACCCAGAACAUUGCUUAUGAAAUGAUUUAUAUUUUUAAUAAUACUUUAUAGUUUACAAGGAUCAUUUGUACAUAUUGUUUGAUUGGAUGUUGAAAACAUUCCUCAUUAGGGACAGCUAGACGUAGAGAGAUGAAAGGUCUUGCACAAAAUCACACAAUUCAUAAAUAGCAAAGGUGAGAUCUGAACCCAAGUCUUCCUAGUUUCAGUCCAGUGCUUUUUACCAAAUAAAAAUGCUACAUAUUGAUUUUUUUUUUUUAUCCUGGGAGGGUGACUAGUUGGACAUCUCAAAUGGAGUAAGGACUUUACUUUUUCACUGGACUUUACUUUUUCAGUUUCCAUGUAAUUUGGAUGUCAUUGUGAAGACGUCAAGAGUCAUGUCCACAAAGAUAAUACUGGUUAUUACUUGGUGACCACCUACUGUAAGCCAGGCCCUGAGCUGGACACUUUAUUUAUAUCUUAUUUAUUCCUCCUAAUGAUCCAGCAAGGUAGGCAUUAUUACACCUAUCUUGCAGAGGAGGAAGCUGAAGAGGUUAGGUAACUUUUCCCAAACAGAGAGCUAGUAAGUGGGUAAGCCAGGUCAUGAAUCCAAGUUAAUCUGCUAUCUUCCCUCUCAGUGCUGCCUUGAAGGACGAGGGGUAUCUGCUGCUCAGGCCUCAGGAAUGGACACAUAGGCUUCAGGCCCAUGAGGACCUCCUGGACUAAGAGCCAGUCUCACUGCCACCUGUCAGAGCCUUCUUCAAGGGAGUAAACAGAGGGGCAGGACUCACCUCACUUCGUGCUGCCAGGGCUAGAGCUAUCCUUUCUCCCCACUCCAUUCCCACCUUGCUGGGUGAGCCUGCAGUUUUUCCAAGGCAGGGCCAGCCUGUCCUGUGCUGCAAGAUGUAUUAAUCAAUUUGAUGGGGAUGUUAAAGCUUUCUCUUUGCAACUAAUUAUGGCCUGAUUUAUAGGCCUGGCCUUGGUUUGAUAGAGCUCUCCUCAUGACAGGGAUGAAUGUGGUACUGGCAUGGACCCCUUCAUCUCUUCCAUUUCUCUCUCUUCCUCCCUCCUCCCUCCCUCCCACGGCUCCUGCCUCCUGCCUCUGCUCUUGGUUCCCACAGGAACACCCUAAUGACAUGUUGACAAGCUAGUGAAGCAUGGCUCCCUCUCUGUUGCAUCUGCCUCUGGCACCACCAUUCCUCCUGUAUUCUCUGACAUGGGCAGAUGGGUGCUGUGCUGGAGGAAGCUCUGUACACCCUUUCCUUCUGGAAACAAGAAACAAUAAAAAUAUUUUGGGUUGAUGCAGCAUCUUCCUUCCCAAACAUUCCAAGAGCUUGUUGAAAUAAACUUUAUCCCUGAUGGAACUUCCAGGUAAGAUUUCAGGUAAGGUUUAUUCUGGUUAUUUUACAAAUGAGAGCACUGAGACAGAGAGAUGAACUUGUCUGUGAUUUUACACACAGUAGGACAAUGAAGAUGAGAAUAAAUUGGUGUCAUGGUGUCCAGCUCCAAGAUCCUCCCAUUGCUGGGGCCUUUGGGUCACCUUACUGUUGCUAGGAACCCUUUCCUCAUACCUGCGCAACUUGACAGAAGGAGAGCCCUCACAUAGGCACUGCUUUUUUGUUUUGUUUUGUUUUGUUUUGUUUUUUGGAGACAGGGUCACACUCGG
rnacentral:lncRNA from 1 species